rnacentral:rRNA from 1 species
GUUCGCGGCCGGCUGGAAACGGCUCGCGGCGGACUGAUGGACGAGGUAAGUGGCGCGUAACACUUAAACCGAGAACAACUCUCAGCAACGGAUAUCUUGGCUCCUGC